ACGCGUGGAACCUUACCAGGUCUUGACAUCCCGCUGCCCGGUAUAGAGAUAUACCUUUCCCUUCGGGGACAGCGGUGACAGGUGGUGCAUGGUUGUCGUCAGCUCGUGUCGUGAGAUGUUGGGUUAAGUCCCGCAACGAGCGCAACCCUUGAUCUUAGUUGCCAGCAUUUAGUUGGGCACUCUAAGGUGACUGCCGGUGACAAACCGGAGGAAGGUGGGGAUGACGUCAAAUCAUCAUGCCCCUUAUGACCUGGGCUACACACGUGCUACAAUGGACGGUACAAACGGUUGCCAACCCGCGAGGGGGAGCUAAUCCGAUAAAACCGUUCUCAGUUCGGAUUGUAGGCUGCAACUCGCCUACAUGAAGCCGGAAUCGCUAGUAAUCGCGGAUCAGCAUGCCGCGGUGAAUACGUUCCCGGGCCUUGCACACACCGCCCGU
rnacentral:rRNA from 1 species